rnacentral:tRNA from 1 species
ACGCCUCCUAAGCGUGGGGUCGGGAGUUCAAAUCUCUUCUGGGACGCCA